rnacentral:rRNA from 1 species
AAUCCCGUUGAUCCUGCGGGAGGCCGCUGCUAUUGGAAUCCGAUUAAGCCAUGCAAGCUCGGGGGGUCUUCGGACCACCGGCGAACUGCUCAGUAACACGUCGAUAACGUGCCCUUAGGUCUGUAAUAGCUCCGGGAAACUGGGGGUAAUGACAGAUAUGCGUGGGAUACCGAAACGUUCCUUCGCUGAAAGGCAACGCCUAAGGAUCGGUCGGCGGCCGAUUAGCUUGUUGGUGGGGUAAUGGCCCACCAAGGCGACUAUCGGUAGGGGCCUUGAAAGAGGGAGCCCCGAGAAGGGUACUGAGAUACGGACCCUAGCCCUACGGGGUGCAGCAGGCGCGAAACCUUUGCAAUGCGUGAAAGCGUGACAAGGGGAUUCCAAGUGCCUGCACAUUGUGCAGGCUUUUGCCAAGAGUAAAGACCUUGGCGAAUAAGUGGUGGGCAAGACCGGUGCCAGCCGCCGCGGUAACACCGGCGCCACGAGUGGGGGCCAUGAUUAUUGGGCCUAAAGCGUCCGUAGCCGGCCUGGUAAAUCUCUUGUGAAAUCGUACGGCUCAACCGAACGGCGAGCAGGGGACACUGCCAGGCUAGGGACCGGGAGGAGGCAGAGGUAUUCGUUGGGGAGCGGUAAAAUGCUAUAAUCCUUCGAAGACCACCUGUGGCGAAGGCGUCUGCCCAGAACGGAUCCGACGGUGAGGGACGAAAGCCAGGGGAGCGAUCCGGAUUAGAUACCCGAGUAGUCCUGGCUGUAAACGCUGCGAGCAAGGUGUUGCGCAUCCUACGAGGUUGCGCAGUGUCGAAGGGAAGCCGUUAAGCUCGCCGCCUGGGAAGUACGGUCGCAAGGCUGAAACUUAAAGGAAUUGGCGGGGGAGCACUACAAGGGGUGCGGCGUGCGGUUUAAUUGAAUUCAACGCCGGAAAUCUCACCAGCAGCGNNNNNNNNNACGCCGGAAAUCUCACCAGCAGCGACGGCAGGAUGAGGGCCAGGUUGAAGGCCUUGCCCGACGAGCCGAGAGGUGGUGCAUGGCCGCCGUCAGCUCGUGCCGUGAGGUGUCCUCUUAAGUGAGGCAACGAGCGAGACCUGUACCCACAAUUGCUAACGGGGCCUCCGGGCUGACUGAGCACAAUGUGGGAACUGCCUUGGAAACAAGGAGGAAGGUGCAGGCAACGGUAGGUCUGUAUGCCCCGAAUCUGCUGGGCUACACGCGCGCAACAAUGGCAAGGACAAUGGGAUGCCACCCCGAAAGGGGGAGCUAAACCUCGAAACCUUGCCUCAGUUCAGAUCGAGGGCUGGAACCCGCCCUCGUGACGUUGGAAUCCCUAGUAAUCGGAUGUCAUAAUCGUCCGGUGAAUAUGUCCCUGCUCCUUGCACACACCGCCCGUCAAACCAACCGAGCAGGGUUCAAGUGAGGCGUAUCUUCUUGGAUAUGUCGAACUUGGACUCAGUGAGGUGGGUUAAGUCGUCACAAGGUAGCCGUAGGGGAACCUGCGGCUGGAUCACCUCCUUU